rnacentral:lncRNA from 1 species
CCGAGGUUAUGGAAUCUUCCUCCCAGGAUAAAAUGGCCUUCAAUCUGAACAAUAGCGGUACCUCAAAUUGUUGGAUUCAACGCUCACUCAAUAGCUUAAUGAUCACACAGAGUUUUUGUUAAUAACAAAAGAGUUUUUCCUAUCAAAAUUGAUACCAACACCUGAGUAAAAUAUCAAGUUUUUAUAGCCUAAAGUGUAUCCUUUCAGAAAGG